rnacentral:rRNA from 1 species
UACGUAGGGUGCAAGCGUUGUCCGGAAUUAUUGGGCGUAAAGAGCUCGUAGGCGGUUCGUCACGUCGGCUGUGAAAUCCCGAGGCUCAACCUCGGGUCUGCAGUCGAUACGGGCGGACUUGAGUACUGCAGGGGAGACUGGAAUUCCUGGUGUAGCGGUGAAAUGCGCAGAUAUCAGGAGGAACACCGGUGGCGAAGGCGGGUCUCUGGGCAGUAACUGACGCUGAGGAGCGAAAGCGUGGGGGAGCGAACAGG